rnacentral:rRNA from 1 species
GGCUGACGCAGCGACGCCGCGUGGAGGAUGACGCCCUUCGGGGUGUAAACUCCUGUUGCCCGGGACGAAUACCUGUUUCGACAGGGGUGACGGUACCGGGUGAGGAAGCACCGGCUAACUCUGUGCCAGCAGCCGCGGUAAUACAGAGGGUGCGAGCGUUGUCCGGAAUCACUGGGCGUAAAGGGCGCGUAGGUGGCUGGGUAAGCGUGUGGUGAAAGCCCGGGGCUCAACCCCGGGUCGGCCAUGCGAACUGUCCGGCUGGAGCACGGUAGAGGCACAUGGAAUUCCGGGUGUAGCGGUGGAAUGCGUAGAGAUCCGGAAGAACACCGGUGGCGAAGGCGGUGUGCUGGGCCGUUGCUGACACUGAGGCGCGACAGCGUGGGGAGCAAACAGGAUUAGAUACCCUGGUAGUCCACGCCGUAAACGAUGGGCACUAGGUCCUUGGGGGAGCGACCCCGUGAGGGCCGGCGCUAACGCAUUAAGUGCCCCGCCUGGGGAGUACGGCCGCAAGGCUG